UACGUAGGGUGCGAGCGUUGUCCGGAAUUAUUGGGCGUAAAGAGCUCGUAGGCGGUCUGUCGCGUCUGCUGUGAAAACCCGAGGCUCAACCUCGGGCCUGCAGUGGGUACGGGCAGACUAGAGUGCGGUAGGGGAGAAUGGAACUCCUGGUGUAGCGGUGGAAUGCGCAGAUAUCAGGAAGAACACCGAUGGCGAAGGCAGUUCUCUGGGCCGUAACUGACGCUGAGGAGCGAAAGCGUGGGGAGCAAACAGG
rnacentral:rRNA from 1 species